rnacentral:misc_RNA from 1 species
UGUUGAGACUGGGUAGCGCCU